UUUUUCUUUUCUUUUCUUUUCUUUUCUUCUUUUCUUUUUUUCUUUUCUCAGAAAUAGCAAUAAACCUGUUUCUUAGAUGUGUUUAGAACUGAAACCUUGUUCCAUCAAUCAAAAUAAUUGUAUUACUCUAAUUCCAUAUAAUUAUACCAAAAAAAAAGGCAAAAGCUGACAAGAGCUCCGGUGUCUUUCUGAAAGUAUGUUGCAGCCCUUUUCAGGUCACAAACCCUGCCUGAGAAAUCUCAGCAAAAUGCAUUGUGUUGUAACAAAGUAAGUCAGAUUCAGCUUAUGCUGUGCACAUAGAUAGCCACAAGGUAUGCUGAGGAUGAGGAACCGGCAAAAGGAAAUUCUGUCUGCAAAGCUGUGGUGGCUAGAGCAAAGGAGGAGCUUUCAAGGGCAAGACAGAGAAGAUGGUAGACAAGUUUUGCCCAGUGCCCUUGUGCCCUACACAAAAUGUUCUGGUCCAGAUACCCCUAUUUGCUGGAUGCUAUCUUCUACACAGGGUACAAGGUUGCAGCUGGUCGUGAACAUGAACAAAGCAAGGCAGGCUUCAGCUAACUUUUCAGGACUUCCAUAGAUGUCUACUUGGGGGGUGGAUGGCUGUUGUCAUUCUAAGGCUUCAACCCAAAAUUUAUCUAAAAAGCACAAAUGUUUCGUGGUUGUUUCACUUACAUUUCCCAGGCCACUUAUGUUUUGCUUCCACAGUCAAAAUUCACUGUAUGCAUUUGAGAUUCUGGAAAAUGAUGAAGAGAAAUCCCAGGAAGGAUUUUUUCAUUAAAGCAUUUUAACAACACAGAAGCUGAAACAGAAGUUUCAACAGAGACAAAAUACAAGGACCUGGGAGCUGGCUUUAAAGAUCACGAACGUGUUCAGUAUUCACCAGAAGGGAAAUAGUCUGUAUUACUGCAUAAGAAAAUGUAGUAAAAACACCCUUUAUACAGUUGAUUUCAUGUUUAUUGCUUCAGUUAGGUUGCUAAUACCAAAAAUAGUUUGAAAACACUCUCCAUGAGUGAAAGAAAUUCAGUAAUUUCAUGUGUGCCUUCACUCCUCUGUUGUUCCCACCUCUGUGACUGCACUGUCACAGUACACUGCUACACAGUAGAAGCACUUGACGUGAGAACUCCACAAUUUGUAAUCUAGAUAAUCUUUGGCAUACAAGGAACAAGUGGGAGGAGAACUUUGACUUCGAUGGCACUUAACCAGUGUCUUGCUGUGUGUGCUGUCCUUUGCAAUAUUUACCACUGAUGCACUCAGUGAAACACUAAGUCAUCACUUGUGGCUGGAUUAUAAAAAACCUUAAAGCUAUUUGCCUGCUACUAAGAGAAGGAAUAUAAAGAAAUACCUGAAGAUAUCUUCAGAAAAGAACCCCCUUUCCCACUGUGCUUGAAAUUUUUGCCAGAACAGCUGGCAUUGUUUAAUGUUAGUCUUACAAUCAUCAUGGUAAUUAUCUAGUGCCUCUUCUGCAGAGAAGGAAAACAUGCUGGUCCAUUUAAUAUAGCUCAAAUAAAAAAGGCCACAAAAACAUCAUUUUCAUGGACUGCAAUGAGUUGAAUCUUCUUCUGUGUUUGAUAACAACAGCUGUUGGAAGACACCCUCAUAAUACUAUUUAAAUUUAUCAGAUUUUUGUUUUGUUAUUCUCUCAGUGCUUUAGUUCUGUGGUUUAUGGUCUGCAAACAAAGAACUGCAAACCAGUAGGCAAAGACUUAAUUCAUUUACUGACCACAUCAUAAACAAUAAUGACAUAGCAUCUAUUCAGUUUACUGAGUUAGGUGACUGAUCCCAAAUGUAAAACUCUAACUCUAGAUGUAAAACUCUAGCUCUUCUGUAGUUCAGAAAACCCAUCAUGCCAGCACUGUGAAACAAACAAGGAAGUCUUGAAUAGUCUUGCACGAAGUGUUCUUAUGGCACUGGCUGGAAUUACGGGAGCUUAACCACCUUACAGAACAGUAUCUUCACAAUCACAAAAGCUGUUUUCUCGCUGUUCCUCCUCUGCAUUUGUCCAGACAGUGCUCCAUUUUAUAGCAGCAGAGAAGCUCAAAGAACAGAAGCAGCCAUCCUGCUUUCCUACAGUGAGUAACAACAGGCUUGAAAUAGCUGAAAACUAUAUGCCAUAUAGAAAAAGAGACAUAUAGACUGAUUGUUCUUGUUCUUAUCCUUUCCUUUUGGUGGACUACGAUUGUUAUUGCUGGUUAUUGUAUAGUUAUUUUGUUAAUGGGGAGGAUGUCUUCUGACAAAUUAUACUGAGGGUUUCAGAAUGAUGAUGACAAUUGAUGGGUUAUCAUUUCAGAGAGAGUGGGUAGAAACACCUUGGGGUGUAUCUUUAAGCUUGCCUUUACUAUAAAUGUUCCACAGUUCUGCAAGCUUUUCAGCAUAAGUUCCAAGAAGCUCUCUCGGCCAAUGUAGUUGUGUACACAUGUAAAGAUAGGUUGGAAGAUUCUACAAAUGCUGAUUGGAAACAGUCCUUGCGUUUAAGUAGGCUACAGACUAGAUAGCAGUUUAAUAGAGCAGUACAUCUAGUCUCUUCUAUAGGAGCUGACAUCUACCAGCAAUAACUAUAAUCAUGGGAUUAAUUUUCCAAAUUUUGGUAUUUUCAGGAGAAAACAUGCUCUAAAUACAUAUUUUAACUUUUAGUGUUCCUACUGUGAAGUAAAGCUGGUAUCAUGUAUAUCACGAGUAUUCUCUCUGAAUGUCUUCAAAUCAAAUGGUAAUAGUUUUUGGUGAUACAUCUUGUUUUCUGUUUCACAUGCGCAGUGAGUUGUGUGGUCUCUGAUGGUGAAGCUGUGUUCUUUUCGUGCCUUUUUCAUUAACAACAGAGACCCUGGAAAUCAAGUUACAUCCUUACUUGUAGUUGUUCCACUCAGCUUUCUAGGCCUAGAGCUUCAGUUAAACUCAUAGUAAGGCCAUAUUGAUCUCACUGAAUUUGCUGUGAAUUAGCAGACUGAAAUUUAGCUUGUGAAAGAAAAUGCAUUUUAAGCUCAGUUAAGAAGAGUUGAACUUGCAUGAUUACUUUCCAAAACAGAUUUACUCUCAGUGUUAGAAGCUUCUAACAAAACUGGUUAGCAUAUUGCUGGCAAAAGAUUUGUGAACAUGUUUUACUUGGAUUGUUUUACUUUGACAGUGUGGUUUGAAACACAAAGGCUAUUGUUUAAAAAAAACAUGAAUGCUAAUUUGCAUUCCAUUGCUGGGUUAUUACACAGGGUGUAGAAAGAAAAAGCAAGUUCUGGUUUAAAAAAAAAAAGUUUCCUUUUCCCUUUCUUUGUCUUCCUUGUGUCUGGUUCUCCUUUAUUUUAACGUUUCUUCUCCAGAAUAUGUUCUUUGAGACACUGAAUGUUCUCUAUCACUAUUAAGCAAAUGCAAGUACACCCACAGCUGUGCCUGUGGAUCAUCUAGCAGAGCUAUAUAACUACGAAAAUUAAUUUAACUUACAGAAUCAUAUCUAUACAGACAUCUGUGAGCAAUGACACUUGUAAUAUAUCUGCUCUGAAGCUAGGAGGUAAUUGCAGUAUGAAAAUCUGUACUCAAACCACUCCAGAAAAUGUGGGGUGUAGUUUCACAAGUAGCAUAGGCCCUGCUUAGACCACGCUGCCACCACAUCUGCCACCAUCCAUUGAUUCUCAGCUCCAAGCCAAGUUCUUCCAUAUAGCAGUGUGGUGGGAUAUAUUCAGAAAUAACAAAGAAAAUCAGUUUUUGUUCGAACUGGUGAGCUGGUCAGACUCAAUAGGCAGCAUCACAAAUGCUAAGGCCUAGCGCAAAGAGGCUGGGAGGAUCAGGCCAUGGGAAAGGGGGAAGCAGUAGGACUGUCAAGACCUUGAGAGCACUAAUAGGCCUUUAGUGGCCUCAGCUGGAGCCUCCUCCUACACCCUUGUUCCUGGGCCCUGGGGCUCUGUUUAAGUUUAGGUGCACCAAUUUCCCUAGCAGCCAUGUCUGUGCCUGGCUGUGGAGUCUGUUGACUUGGGUCAGUGAGGAGUGUUGUGAUCUCAGACGUGUGAACUGACUUUGCAGCCUGACCUUGGUCCUGUCCUGUCACCAUGGUCCUGUUGGGUGAUCACAAGGUUAUGUCUGAUCCUCGCUGGGCCUUAUCCUGACCUGUGGACUGGCUUUCCUGCUUGGUCUCAGCUCUGCUCUGACACUGUGGACCUGCCUGGUAACUACAGGGUUGUGUCUGAUCCUGAUCUACACAGUGACUUCUCAGCCUUGUCUUAGUCCUGCAUCAUUGUUAUGAACUUGCCCUGUGAUCUGGGUUGACCCUGGCUGCUACCACCGCUGGCUUGCCCUGCUCCCUUGUUUAGGUGCGACGAUAUCUGGUGAUGCCUCUAGUCUGCUUGCCGUGCUAUUAUCUCCUUGUCCCUCUGGGAGCAGCCAGCCCUCGGUAAUCCCUGAUAAGGGUCAGGUACUGGUAGUAGUGUGGUCUCUGACUGGCUCCCAUCAGCCUCAAGAAAUCACAAGACUGUGUUAAGAGGUGGCAGUAAGAACAAAGAUGUUCUUACAGGAGCCACUUCCAAAGGAAGUGGUCCUGCUUCUUCCUCAACUACAGAUGCGUGUUCACACCUUCUUCCUUGUGCUACCACAAGUGUUUGUGCAGCAAGACGAUGAACCAGAGCAAUAAUGUCGGCUCGUGAAGACAACAAGGCAUGGAUGUACUCAGGGCAGAAGAGUGGUUAAUGUAACUUCACCUUGAAGUGCUUGUGGAAGUCUGGCUGAAAGAUCACUGAGGUCAGGGAUUUUACUUGUACACGCCAGGUCUGUUUGGAAUCCUGGGGACUUGUGAUUGGCCAAGGCUGAAAACAAUAGUGGUGUCUUCUGUUCUGGUGCUAUCCAAACUAGCUCUGGGACGAAGGCCCUACCACAGAUACAUCCUGCAACUGGCAAUGUAGUUGUUUAGGCCUUUCUUACAUAAGUGAGCAAAGCAGCAAGCAUAUUCAUCUAGGCCCAAAGGUGCUGGGCAUACAGAGUUGACUUUCAAUUCAUAUUGAAUGAGGAAGGGGUCAAAAUCCAAGUGUUUUGUGCUUGAAUCUGCCAACUGAGUUGU